ensembl:lncRNA
AGACGCUGUGCCGGCUCACCUCCUCAGACCUCCGUCUCGAGCAUAGCGAGGGAGAAAAGGCGCUAUCGAACGCGAGCGCGGCGGGCUUCACGUUAACAGCGCGGAAGGUCGACGGCGGAUCCCGCGGUGCGGCGCGGCGACGGGAGGCGACAUGCUCUGAGCUGCGCGCUGCCUUCGCUCUCGCUCUCACGCGGCGCGCUGCCGCACGCGGCCGCCAGGGGGCGACAGAACACGCGACCCGCUCACCGGGAAAAAAUAAGCUGUUGGAUUAUUACCAAAUGAAAAUGCCGAAAGAAUAGGGGGCUACCCUGUUGGGGGAUUCACAGACUACUUGUCAAACGGAGACCUUCCAGGAACCAGUUGAAGAUUAAGAAACUGUCAGCUAAUGGUCCACCCAGCAGGAUUCCCAGAAAAGAAAAACAACACCAACCAAGCUUACUGCAAGACAGAAGUAGUCUGUUUAAUGUCUCCUUUUAACAUUUAAAGC